rnacentral:tRNA from 1 species
GUAUGGCUCAGUGGUAGAGUGUCUGCCUAAUAGGCAUGAGGCCCUAGGUUCAAUUCCCAGCAC